UACGAAGGGGGGCUAGCGUUGCUCGGAAUUACUGGGCGUAAAGGGAGCGUAGGCGGACAUUUAAGUCAGGGGUGAAAUCCCAGAGCUCAACUCUGGAACUGCCUUUGAUACUGGGUGUCUUGAGUGUGAGAGAGGUAUGUGGAACUCCGAGUGUAGAGGUGAAAUUCGUAGAUAUUAGGAAGAACACCGGUGGCGAAGGCGGCCCACUGGCUCGACACUGACGCUGAG
rnacentral:rRNA from 1 species